GCACUGCUGAGGAGUCCAAUGAUAGGACAAAACGGCCGUCCAAUGC
rnacentral:hammerhead_ribozyme from 1 species